CCUACGGGGGGCAGUAGUGAGGAAUAUUGGUCAAUGGACGAGAGUCUGAACCAGCCAAGUAGCGUGAAGGAUGACUGCCCUAUGGGUUGUAAACUUCUUUUAUAUGGGAAUAAAAUGUUCCACGUGUGGGAUUUUGUAUGUACCAUAUGAAUAAGGAUCGGCUAACUCCGUGCCAGCAGCCGCGGUAAUACGGAGGAUCCGAGCGUUAUCCGGAUUUAUUGGGUUUAAAGGGAGCGUAGGUGGAUUGUUAAGUCAGUUGUGAAAGUUUGCGGCUCAACCGUAAAAUUGCAGUUGAAACUGGCAGUCUUGAGUACAGUAGAGGUGGGCGGAAUUCGUGGUGUAGCGGUGAAAUGCUUAGAUAUCACGAAGAACUCCGAUUGCGAAGGCAGUUCACUGGACUGCAACUGACACUGAGGCUCGAAAGUGUGGGUAUCAAACAGGAUUAGAUACCCCUGUAGUC
rnacentral:rRNA from 1 species